GUGCGGACAAUUUCUAAGGCAUCUGCUGGGCUUGCAUCCAUUUAGGUGUAACACAGUUCAGUGCACAGAACAGAAUUUGCCUUCAUCUGCGCUCACAUGAAACAAAUAUUUAUUCCAGAGCUGUAUGGAAGCCAUUGUUGCCUAAAGAGAAAUCAGAAUUAGGUUUGAUGCGCCCAGUCAGGAGCCACAGUGAUCAAGUUAUUUUAGGGGCACGGGUGGAGGAGUGAUGUGUUUGUGUCUCAUGUCACGAAGGUCCCUCUCACUUUUUGUUGGGUCAUCCAUCAUGCCUUGCACAAAUGCAUUUGGAGACAUUAACUCAUCCUUGGUGUGACAUGAAAAACCAUGAUGCUUUUCCAGUAAGAGUUGUGCAUACAGAAAUGAGGUUAAUUCUGGUCUACAUGGGUGCUAGCUCAGUGCAUCCUUGCACGUAGUAGCCAUGGUGUGGAUGGGGGUGUGUGCUAAGGCAGCCAAACUGCUACGUUUUGACAGUUCUGCUGCAUGCAUUAAAAUAACAUCAUCCUGGUUUGUUGUCUCUCCUCUUCCACCCUCUCCCCUCACUCAGCAAAGUCUAAAGGGAACAAGCUCCAAGUAUUAAAAUAGCUCCUGUCUAGCUUGUUCAGCCUAUUUCAGGAGGUUGGUUCCAUCUUGACACAGAUAGAAUACAGAGACAUUGUGGAAACCACAGCCACAAGGGGCCAUCGGCCAAAACUAAAUGAUUUCCCAGCUUAUGCAGAGUAGUUUGUUCUCCCCCUACCCCCUCCCAUCCCCUUUCCUAGCUUAAAAUAACAGUGGGAAGCUGUUUGGCUUUGUUUUGUUGGAUUUUUCUGCUUGCUGCACUUGGUCUGUUGUGAGGGGAUGGAAAGCUAGGAAGGAGCUGUGAGGUGGCAGAGACUUGUUGCCUUCUGGAUUGAGGUGAGACCUCCAGAACCACCAGAAAAAAACAAAACCCCACAUGUAUUUCUGGCAUGUAUUUUCAAGGAGCAAACAAACAAUCAAUGGGUAAAUCGACACAUGGAUUUAGCAGCUUGGACUAUGGAAUUAGUCUCACAUCUUGUCUUAGAUUGACCCAAAGGGCAGUGGACGUCUAUGAAGAGCAUAGGGCAAAAGUCACACAGGGAUAGCUACUGCCAGAUUAAGUCAGCUACAGGGAAGGACCCAUUUUCUGGUUCCUGUGAUUCUUCUGUUGCUACGCUAAAACUUAUCCUAUGGAGCUGUACUACUUAACACCCGCUUCCACCUUGGACUAAUUCAAAACCACCAUGAAUAAGACAAAAGUGCUAACUUCCACCAAUAUUCCACUCAUCUGCUUGGAGUGUGCCUACAGGAAGUCAACAUAUUCUGCAUUUUCUUGCCCUCAGGUUCGUAGGUCUCAUUCCAGCUCCUGCUUCUGCCCAGGGUUAUCUGUUUCUUCCUAAAGGCCUAUUUCAUACCUGCAUCAAAACUAGUAGGUUGGUAAAACUUCCAUCUUCCAGUCUAAACUGCACCAGAGUCCGUGAAUAUUGCCAAAUGCAUCUAUGGACGUGAAGGUGACCUUAGCCCUCGAGAAGAAAAAAGAUGAACUCUCAAAUUCUCACUAAAAUACUAUCCUUGUUUUGCCAAGAGGUGUCAAACUGUGGGUGUGCAAAUUACAGUGGGAAGCUGCAAACAUGAAUGGAGCCUUGGGACCAGAUGGCUCGGCACCAGAAGGGUUUGCAAGAAACUAGGCCUCGGGGUGAGCCUUGCUGCUUUGCAAGCGAGCCCCCGGUGCUUGCUCUGAAUGGUAUUCAAUGCCAGAAUUUAAUAUGCAACAAACUUUAUCACUUGAGGACUUGUGCGUCUCAUCAUUGUAAAAAGAAAAUCAGCACUAGCAGCGUGCUGGGGGCACUUUCACCUUUGUUAGCAGAAAUAGUGCACAGAUGCAAUAUCCAAGCUCAAGCAGCAAAAAGACUCAUUUAAGGGUAGUCAACGCUGUGUAAAUAGGUGAAUU
ensembl:lncRNA